AGCCAUUGCGCUUUCUCUGUAUCAUUCUAACCUGCGCCCACCUAACUGAUCAAACAUCAGAAGAAUCAAGAGAGAAACAAUGGCGUGGUGUGCUUUGAUACCCUUCCAUGUUCCUAUGAUGAAAGUCGGCGCGCUUUGUCCUCGGGCUCCUUUAGCCAUCGGCGGCUUCGGCUGCGCUUCAGUUGUUUGCCCCAGCCUCUGGAGCUCUUCUUCUAACCGAUCCUUUGCUCUGCCCUUCGCUUCAUUAAGCACAACCACCGCUUCUCCUAAAAAGGAGGCUGUUAAGACUGAGAAGGCUCCAGCAGCAUUGGGACCAUAUUC
rnacentral:misc_RNA from 1 species